GGGCGUUUACCACGGAGUGAUUCAUGACUGGGGUGAAGUCGUAACAAGGUAGCCCUAGGGGAACCUGGGGCUGGAUCACCUCCUUAAACGA
rnacentral:rRNA from 1 species